rnacentral:tRNA from 1 species
GGCCUCGUAGUUAUGUGGUAUGAUUCUCGCUUUGGGUGCGAGAGGUUCCGGGUUCGAUUUCAGGCGAGCUCU